rnacentral:tRNA from 1 species
GCGUCGGUGGUGUAACGGUUAGCAUUGUUGCCUUCCAAGCAAUAGAUCCGGGUUCGAUUCCCGGCUGACGCA